rnacentral:lncRNA from 1 species
AUUUUAUAUAUAUAUAUGAUCAUAUAUAUAUAUGUAUAAUACAUGUGACCACCAUAUAUUAAUAUAUAUAUAUGUGGUUAAUAUUAUAUAUAAUAUACAUCUAUAGAUAGAUCAUUUCAUUGUCAGACUAAUGCCAUGAAGUAGGUGAUUUUAUUACCUCCAUUAUGCAGAUGAAGAAACUAAAGCAAGAGGUUAACUUGCCACAUUCACACAGAUUGCAAGUGGUCAAACCAGAAUUUCAAUUCAGGAUUUCUGGCAUUUAACCGCUAUGCUAUACUACUAAACAAAGCAUGAUGGAGAGGAGGGAAGAGAGAAAGAUGGCUCGAUGAGCUUAAAAAAAAAAUGUGAGGAGCAGUUGUGAUUAGCCCCGAGAAGGCAGAAGAAAGAGUUUCCAUUGGAGAGAACUGCAAGGAGGAGGUGCCACCAGAGGAUAAAAAGCCUUCAAUUAUUCACACAAGGCGUAUUUGUUUUCUUAAAAAGGGACAAGCUCCUGGAGAGCAUAACCCCUGAAUUUUUAUCAAUGGAAUUUCACAUGUCCCGGCAGGUGGGCGGCGGGGAGAUUUGAGCCCCUCGAAUUACAGCUCCUAGGCCCUGCCUCAGAAAAGUCCCCUCGUCUCGGCAAAGCCCCUCCCACACAAGCACAAUGUGCGGUCUCGAGCCCACUCGAGGCUGGACGACUCGGCAGCCGAGCACACAAAAUGAGAACUGUUUCCCCUGCGUGCAGCUGGCCCGCCCUUUCAACUGGUCCCAGCUGCGCGGAGCCGCGCACGCAGCGGGGCCACGCCCCCAGAUGAAUAUUCAUGACCGCCUUGUGCUCAGACCCCCGAUGUUAAGGCCUCUAAAGGGAUUAGGAGGACCGUAGAGGUUUACUGAUAGGGAGUCAGAAGGAAAGAGGGAGCCGGGCUUUGUCAAGGCUUGCUUUUGAGGACUACAAAGAGGAGGGAGCACAUGGAAAUUGAAGUCCGUGGUUGCUAAUCUAGACGAGGUCAGAUUUAUAAAGGGAACUCGCUUCUCCUUGUAGUUUAUCAACCCUUUCAACAUCCUUCCACGCCAACAACGUGCAAUUACUGGUGUUUCACAGACAGGCUCUCUUUCUAGCAGUCGGGAGCGUGGAAACAACCGAGAGAAUGUUGGUCCCUGGAGAAAAAUGCCAAACAAGUAUAACAAGUAUCAACUGAGAACACUCUGACUGGGAAGAAUGCUAUUUGUCUUUCACAAUGAGGACUUGAGAAGAGUAAUAGCCAUUGGUGAACUCCCAGGAGUGAAGACCUGAGAGGGGAAAAAUGAGAAGGGAUUUUCCUAAAAAGAGGAGUGACAGGAAAGAGCAGGACAUAAAGCACCAGGAAAACAAGAAUGAGCCACUCUCCCAGAGAAGAAACGAGGAGUCUUUGAAACGCUGGAGCAAGGUUAAGAGGGGAAGUGAGUCUACAAAGAGA